rnacentral:lncRNA from 1 species
UAUUUUUGGAUUCAAUUGAUACAAUGUUUUAAAAAUUUAUGUUAAUUUUUAUACAGGCUAUGAUUCUGUAAUGCAAAUAGUAUGAAAAAUGCAUUAAUCUAUAAAAUUAUAAUUUAGUUAAGGUCUAAAUAGCCAAAAUAUAAAAUUCAGUCAAUUCAUGAUCAAUUCAUAUACAACAAGACUUUGUGGUAUACUACUACCUUGCAAUUUACUUAGUGAUUCAAUUAUCUCCACAAGUUAUAAAACUGUUUGCAUUAGUGUUGCUAGUGAAAGUAUUCAUUUCAUUUCUGCCUUAGAAGUCAUCGGGAUUACAGUAGGUAAUGGAACUGUAGUUAAAAAAAAUGAUCUGCUGCCCACAUAGCUCCUGAUAAAGCAAUCAUUUAUUACUUGGAGGUCCAGAUUCAAUUCCUAAUCCCAGAUCUGUAGAUUUAUUUGCAAGAAAGGAAUAUCAGUUGAAGCUUCUAUUUCAACCUUCUGGUUGACUCUAUACAUAUGUUGAUCAACUUUUGGUACACUUUGAAGUUGCUGCUGCCAAAUAUAAUCCUUGUAAAAUUCAGUAACAUAAUUAGCCUGACCUAACCCAAUCUACAAACAUGCAUGUAUUAUUUAUUAUUGCA